rnacentral:rRNA from 1 species
GAUGAACGCUGGCGGCAUGCCUAAGACAUGCAAGUCGAACGAGACGACCUUUGGAAGACUGAGUGCUUGCACAAAGUUAGAAGAAGAUCAUCGUCUAGUGGCAGACGGGUGAGUAACACGUGGGUAACCUACCUUCAAGCUGGGGAUAACGUUUGGAAACGAACGCUAAUACCGAAUAAGAUAUAGCAAUAUAUUGAAAGAAGCCUUUAAAGCUUCACUUAAAGAUGGGCCUGCGGCGUAUUAACUAGUUGGUGAGGUAAUGGCUCACCAAGGUAACGAUGCGUAGCCGAACUGAGAGGUUGAACGGCCACACUGGGACUGAGACACGGCCCAGACUCCUACGGGAGACAGCAGUUAGGAAUAUUCGUCAAUGGGGGAAACCCUGAACGAGCAAUGCCGCGUGAGUGAUGAAGGCCCUAUGGGUUGUAAAAACUCUGUUGUAUGGGAAGAACGGCUAUAUUAGGAAAUGAAUAUAGAGUGACGGUACCAUACCAG